AGCCUUUUGUUUUUUUAUAAUAGGUUUGUUCUGCUCAGUGUUUAUAAAUAGCCGCAGUAAUUUGACUGUGCAAAGGUAGCAUAAUCAUUUGCCUUAUAAUUGAGGGCUAGUAUGAAUGGAUUAACGAGAGUUUUUCUGUCUCUAAUUCAUAAUAAUAACUUGUAUUUAAUGUGAAGAUACAUUAAUUUUUUAGUGGGACAAGAAGACCCUUUUGAGCUUUAUUUAGAUUGUUUUUUUUUAGAAAAUUUUAAUUUGGUUGGGGCGACCUGUGAAGAUUAAAACUUUUAGAUCUUCUUUUGCUAAUAAAGAACCAUUAAUUUUGGGUUUUAGAUUAAGUUACCAAAGGGAUAACAGCGUAAUUUUUUUUUAGAGUUCUUAUUAAAAAAAAAGAUUGCGACCUCGAUGUUGACUUAUGAUUUCCUUUUGGUGCAGUAGCUUUUAGGGUAGGUCUGUUCGACCUUUAAAAUCUU
rnacentral:rRNA from 1 species